UACGUAGGGGGCAAGCGUUGUCCGGAAUCAUUGGGCGUAAAGAGCGUGUAGGCGGCUCGGUAAGUCCGCUGUGAAAGUCCAGGGCUCAACCCUGGAAUGCCGGUGGAAACUGUCGAGCUAGAGUCCGGAAGAGGCGAGUGGAAUUCCUGGUGUAGCGGUGAAAUGCGCAGAUACCAGGAGGAACACCAAUGGCGAAGGCAGCUCGCUGGGACGGUACUGACGCUGAGACGCGAAAGCGUGGGGAGCAAACAGG
rnacentral:rRNA from 1 species